rnacentral:lncRNA from 1 species
GACAGUGUCUGUUUUUCUCUGGUACUCUGUGAGGGGUGGACAGUGUCUGUUUUUCUCUGGUACUCUGCGAGGGGUGGAUAGUGUCUGUUUUUCUCUGGUACUCUGUGAGGGUUGGACAGUGUCUGUUUUUCUCUGGUACUCUGCGAGGGGUGGACAGUGUCUGUUUCUCUGGUACUCUGUGAGGGGUGGCCAGUGUCUGUUUUUCUCUGGUACUCUGUGAGGUGUGUGGACAGUGUCUGUUUUUCUCUGGUACUCUGUGAGGGUGGACAGUGUCUGUUUUUCUCUGGUACUCUGUGAGGGGUGGACAGUGUCUGUUUUUCUCUGGUACUCUGUGAAGGGUGGACAGCAUCUGAGACUCAAAUCAUUGGUUCGUCUUCUCUGACUGUAGAACAAUCAUAUCAUAAACCUGUGGACGUUAGGAGCAGAAGGAACUGUCUCGUCUGUGCCAGACUUUUGUUUUGUUUUCAUUUAUAGAUUGCGAUUCUGAAAAAUGUCAUCAGAAGGUCGACAAAGAAACCCAUUGUAGUGUGUUCUUUAAUCAAUGCAUCCUUGGGUUUUUUCAUGGCAUAGUUCGGGUGUGUGUAAGCAUUCUGAAUCAAAAUACUGACUUAUAAUGUCAAUUGCUGCUGGAAAUAUUUUUGUUUCCAUCAUGUGGGAAUUCUGUGGAUAUUGUUAAGUGGUCUUUGCUGGAGGUGUUUUAAAAAACUGUCAUUCUCAGUUUGUCUGGUUGAAUCUGUAACUUUUGGGGGCCUAUAUGAUUCGAAAAUGGAUUGUUCAGAUGGAGAUUACAUGUAAUACCAUAUUCCCUACCCGGAGUGCCUAGACAAUUUACAAAGAGGGCGCUAAACUAAAAUGUGUUUGAUGAUAGUUACAAUGAAAUCUGUAUGACAUUUGUGCUUAUGUAUUCUGUAACAUGUACAAGAAAUACUGACUGGCAUUUAAAGUUUUGGUCUGGGCAGAGUUCUCCAUUAAGAUUACCUACAGACGGGUGUAGAGUUUGGUCUGGGCAGAGUUCUCCAUUAAGAUUACCUACAGACGGGUGUAGAGUUUGGUCUGGUUUGGUCUGGGGUGAAUAUGGUAUGUUAAACAUGAUGGUGUGUUUUCUGUUUGAUGAGAGUGGGUGUGAUCAGAUUUAUUUAUGGGUGCAGCUUCUAUAUUGUGUCAGUCACAGGACAUCAUUCUUUGUGCCACAGAUUUAUACUUCAGCUUUGUGUACAUGACGUUCCCCCAUCACCUGUGAAUACUUAGUCGCGUUAUGUGGGAAAAUAGAUACCAUUAUUUAAAUUCACUCUUGCCUGCUGGCCCGCGACUACUAAAUUGUGCUUAGGACUGGUAAGAAUACAAUGAUAUUUGUCCUGAUAGACAAGUAGCAUAUGCAUGCAGUAAUUCUGAACCUGGUCUCAAACACUCAUAAGAUUGAAUGAAACAGGAAAUAUUUCUGUCUUGUUCAUGCAGGAUUCACUACUGAUUCUGAGAGAUAAUAAACUUGGAUUUCCACUAGUCCUCUGGACUUAUUUGGAGCUGUGACUGGCUUGCGGUUAACUAUUUUGGUUAGAACAGUAACUACACCAUACAUCGCGAGUCAUCCAUGGGGAACGUCAUGCAUACCUCACCAUGAAGGCUCAUUUGCAGACGUAUUUAUACUGUGUAUUAUCAUCACAACUCAUGCGACAGAUAGUCAUUGUAUGUUGAUAAUAAUACCAGAUUAGAUUAGCACUUAGAGAACGGGGUAAUAUAUCUUAAGGUUUCAUUCUUACUCUUCAAUAAUGGAUCUGUAUAUAGUUCUUUGACUAAAACUCCUAAAAAAACUCAAACAUCUGAUUCUGUCAUGGCGUGAGUGAUUACUUGUAGUCAUAUAAAGCAGGGGGCGUUGUUUGACUUCUUUGUUUGACUCUCUUAUUGGCCAUGUUAGAUGCUUAUUAGAUAAUUUUACCAUUUGAAUAUUAUUUGUUACAAAAUUUGACAUGUUCAGUUCCCUAUUAGAUGCUUAAGUCGAACUUGUAGUUGACAAAACUGUUUUAGAAUUUUUGCAGAUGGAAUUCUUUUGGUGCCAUUUUUCAAACAAGCUUUGCUUGUUUCAAAAAUAUCAGUUUCAUUUAAUUACAUGGUGCUCGCCAAGUGUAGACUUGCGUUACAUCUGUUACUGUGUUACCCGUUAUAAACGUCACAUUCAGCCAUCUUGUAGCUCUUCAUUUCAGGAUUUUGUUAAUGAUUUAAAAAAUAAUGCUGAAAAAUGAAACCAUCUUC